UUGCUCGUCAUCAGUCUUGAAUAGCAAUAGCCUGCUAAUUGGAAAUGCCUGUCAAGCUCUUGUAAACAUAUAAUAAUUCCAGUGAAACACAUUCACAGAUUGUUAUAUGUAAUUCUUUCCGGUAUCUCCCUGAGAAAUGCAAAGCAAAUGUGAAAAAUUAAACGGUCUUGUGUAGCCAACGAGAAAUCAGGAUCACUCCCAUAUUCCACCAGAGUGUUAAUAUUUAUGCUAGAGGCUUAUUGGAGGUGUUGAAGAUAAUGUUUAAUCCCUGAAUAUAUGAAUUACGCACAUUCUGAAAGAGACGAAAUCACUCAAGGAGCAGGUGUAUCUACCGAAAUUGCUUACCUUUUCAGACAGCUUGAAACGAAUAUUCAGAUGGCUUAAAUUCUUCCAUUUCAUCUCAAUCUUCCUCACAUACAAUAUGAAAAGUUGAUGUAUCCUGUGACUAUGAAUGGUGACAAAAAUAUACAAUAUUUUUUCUCAGUAAAAUGGAGACCUGAAAAAUCAAUAAAUUCAGACGGAACCCACUGUAUAUACAAUAUUGAUUUCCUCCAUUAUGUACAGGUACAUGUAUUAUGAAAUAGCAUGUCAUAGAUCAAAUUUACUAACCUUCUUCGUAAGUUGAAACACAUGUUACAUCUUUAUAUGAAUUUAUAAAAGAAACUGCAUUGCGUAAGUCGCGCGAAUAUGAAGACUUCAUCACGGAAUUACACAAUGUUAUAUUCUAUACUUAUUUUCUUUCUCAUUUCUCACCACACAUUUUUUAGGUGUCAGCUCAGUGGGACAAUUUUGCUUUGGCGAGGGAAUGCGUGUGUGUCCUGCUCAUUUUAAAGACCCUAGACAUAAGUACGAAUUCUGCAGAAACUUCGAGAACUUUAAUAAGUGUUUCCAGAAGGGAUCCGCAAAAUGUAUACACUCCUAAACCGUUGCCGAGCGCCUCGUGCGACAUUGUUGGAGUUAGGAGCGAGUCAGUAUACGCAACUGCCGUUGUAACUCUAUUACUCAACGUACAUAAGUAUUUAUUAUGUCACUGAAAGUACGUAUAUGUAUUAAUUUGAAAAAAAUAUUCAAUGAUAUAAGUGAUAAAAACGGAAUUCAAAUAUUACAAGAGAUCGACUUCACUACAGAUGACUACAAUUUUAUACGUGCCAUUGAGGAUAUCUAAUGAUGUCCUACACUGUAUGCUUUAAAUAUAAAUUAAAUAACUUUGUUGUAUUUCA